rnacentral:rRNA from 1 species
GGGCCAUCACGAAAGCUCAAACCUGACGCAUCAACGCCGCGUGAGUGAGGAAGGUUUUCGGAUCGUAAAGCUCUGUCGAGUGGGAAGAAAUGUAUCAUGGCUAAUAUCCAUGAUACUUGACGGUACCGCUAAAGGAAGCACCGGCUAACUCCGUGCCAGCAGCCGCGGUAAUACGGGGGGUGCAAGCGUUGUUCGGAAUUAUUGGGCGUAAAGAGCGUGUAGGCGGCUGAAUAAGUCAGAUGUGAAAUCCCUGGGCUUAACCCAGGAAGUGCAUUUGAAACUAUUCAGCUUGAGUAGGGGAGAGGAAAGUGGAAUUCCUGGUGUAGAGGUGAAAUUCGUAGAUAUCAGGAGGAACACCGGUGGCGAAGGCGACUUUCUGGCCCUAUACUGACGCUGAGACGCGAGAGCGUGGGUAGCAAACAGGAUUAGAUACCCUGGUAGUCCACGCUGUAAACGAU